GAUGAACGCUGGCGGCGUGCCUAACACAUGCAAGUCGAACGGGGUAUAGACGCCGUUUGAAGCUUCGGCAGAAAACAUGUCUAUACUUAGUGGCGAACGGGUGAGUAACGCGUGGGCAACCUGCCCCGUACCGGGGGAUAGCAGUUGGAAACGACUGAUAAUACCGCAUAAGCGCACGGUAAGGCAUCUUACAGUGUGAAAAACUCCGGUGGUACGGGAUGGGCCCGCGUCUGAUUAGCCAGUUGGCGGGGUAACGGCCCACCAAAGCGACGAUCAGUAGCCGGGCUGAGAGGCCGGACGGCCACAUUGGGACUGAGACACGGCCCAGACUCC
rnacentral:rRNA from 1 species